UCAAGCAUCAGAAUGCUCUCACUUUGUGUACACUCAGAAUUUAUAACAACGGAUUACGACAGCCGCAUUUUCAUUUUAAUGCAAAUGAAAUGGGAUAUGUAAUAAGUGGAUGUGCAAAGGUGGGCAUUAUUAAUACUCAGGGUAUCGUGGAGUUUGAUGUUCACAUUGGAGAUGUGGUAUUUUUCCCCAUGGGAACCCAACAUUACAUUAAGAGCACAUGUGAUGAGGAUUUGCUUUUCCUUCUUGCCUUCAGCACCGGAGACCAGGCCACAGCAGACCACAUCCUGGCCCAACUUUUCUUCAAGAAGCAAAGUGAAUUUAAGAAGAUCCCCAAAUUCAAGGAGGACCAGGCAAUCAACCUGCCGUAGAUUUGCCAAUGAGUUCAUACUUAUUCUUCCUUCCUCAUUUGUUCUUAUUGUUUUUAAAGAAGGACCACUUUGCUAAUAAACAUGAAGCUCUUUACAGAGCAGAAGUGGGAAAGCAGGUGCAAAACAGCCCUGUGAGCUCAUUUAGCUGACAGUGAUGCUAGGCAGUGGAUGCUAAGGGAGCAUUUCAGUAUCCUCUGUGUAGAUCUAUGGAAGAGACCCAAUAUAUUAAAUUCAUAUAUUUUUGUAUGGGUUUUGGUGUAUGUGUAUGUAUUUAUUUGUUUUCCUUUUGUUACUUCAAAUUUUAUUACUCUAAGUGAAAAGUCAUUUUUUUAUCCCUAUCAGCAGAUCUUACUACCAUGCAUGUAUUUUUGUCAUUCAUCACCAUGAAAGGAAUUCAGCCUAUGUACGAGGUGCUGGAAUCUGAUACCUCAAACCUUGUCUGGAGAGUUCCUAACCCUUUUGUUGUAUGAAGUAACUUUUUAUGAUGGCAAAAUUUUCAAGGACUCGCACAUUUGACUGGUUGUAUAUUUUCUGUAUAUUAGCUGAGAAAAUAAAAU
rnacentral:lncRNA from 1 species